rnacentral:rRNA from 1 species
UACGGGGGGGGCAAGCGUUGUUCGGAAUUACUGGGCGUAAAGGGCUCGUAGGUGGCCAACUAAGUCAGACGUGAAAUCCCUCGGCUUAACCGGGGAACUGCGUCUGAUACUGGAUGGCUUGAGUUCGGGAGAGGGAUGCGGAAUUCCAGGUGUAGCGGUGAAAUGCGUAGAUAUCAAGAGGAACACCAGUGGCGAAGGCGAGUCCCUGGACAACACCUGACACUGAGGCACGAAAGCUAGGGGAGCAAACAGG